AGUGAACGCUGGCGGUAGGCCUAACACAUGCAAGUCGAACGGCAGCACAGUAAUAGCUUGCUCUUACGGGUGGCGAGUGGCGGACGGGUGAUGAAUACAUCGGAAUCUACUUUUUCGUGGGGGAUAACGUAGGGAAACUUACGCUAAUACCGCAUACGACCUACGGGUGAAAGCAGGGGAUCUUCGGACCUUGCGCGAUUGAAUGAGCCGAUGUCGGAUUAGCUAGUUGGCGGGUUAAAGGCCCACCAAGGCGACGAUCCGUAGCUGGACUGAGAGGAUGAUCAGCGACACUGGAACUGAGACACGGACCAGACUCCUACGGGAGGCAGCAGUGGGGAAUAUUGGACAAUGGGCGCAAGCCUGAUACAGCCAUACCGCGUGGGUGAAGGAGGCCUUCGGGUUGUAAAGCCCUUUUGUUGGGAAAGAAAAGCAGCAGGUUAAUACCCCGCUGUUCUGACGGUACCCAAAGAAUAAGCACCGGCUAACUUCGUG
rnacentral:rRNA from 1 species